AAAGAUAGAGGUUGCGUAUUUCAAGAGUAGUUUUUCUGAUGUGGCAGGCACAGGAGAGGAAAGAUAAAAGGGAAAGACGCCGAAAGAGGAGAUGCCCCUGCGUAUCAAGUCUUGGGCAUGCAGUUAAGAGCUGUGUGACUGUCAUCUAGAAGUUAGAUGGGGCGCUAUCAGUU
rnacentral:ncRNA from 1 species